GAGAACUUUCGUGUCUAGCUCAGGGCUUGUAAACGCACCAAUCAGCACCCUGUCAAAACGGACCAAUCGGCUCUCUGUAAAAUGGACCAAUCAGCAGGACGUGGGUGGGGCCAGAUAAGGGAAUAAAAGCAGGCUGCCGCGCUAGCAAUUAUAACCUGGUCGGUUUUCUUUUGUGGUGUGUGUUUAUAUUGUGCGAGUUCUGUUCUUUUGUUCUGCGGUAAAUCUUGUUGUUGUUUGCUGUUUAGGUCUAUGUUCCCUUUAUGAGCUGUAACGCACACCAUGAAGGUCUGCGGCUUGGCUAUUGAGUCAGUGAGAGCGUGAACCUACUAUUAGAAGAAAAACUCUGAAUACGUCUGAACGUCAGAAAGAACGAAGUUUGGACACAUUGUCUUUAAGAACUGUAACACUCACCCCAAGGGUUUAUGGAUUCAUUCUUGAAAUCAGUGAAACCAAAAGCUUUCCAAAGUUUAACACACAGGGAAAUGACUUACUGCAAAGAACCACUCUUCCCCACGAGACUUCGAGAAGACCCGCUGUCACGGACUGAGUUGUGUCCUCUUAAAAUUCAGAUGUUGGAGUCCAAACCCCCAGUAACUCAGAGUGUGAACGUAUUUGAAGAGGUCUUU
rnacentral:lncRNA from 10 species